GACGAACGCUGGCGGCGUGCCUAAUACAUGCAAGUCGAGCGAUGAAGCUUGGUGCUUGCACCCAUUUGAAGAGCAGCGAACGGGUGAGUAACGCGUGGGGAAUCUGCCUUUGAGCGGGGGACAACAUUUGGAAACGAAUGCUAAUACCGCAUAACAACUUUAAACAUAAGUUUUAAGUUUGAAAGAUGCAAUUGCAUCACUCAAAGAUGAUCCCGCGUUGUAUUAGCUAGUUGGUGAGGUAAAGGCUCACCAAGGCGAUGAUACCUAGCCGACCUGAGAGGGUGAUCGGCCACACUGGGACUGAGACACGGCCCAAACUCCUACGGGAGGCAGCAGUAGGGAAUCUUCGGCAAUGGACGAAAGUCUGACCGAGCAACGCCGCGUGAGUGAAGAAGGGUGUCGGAUCGUAAAAGUCUGUUGGUAGAGAAGAACGUUGGUGAGAGUGGAAAGCUCAUCAAGUGACGGUAACUACCCAGAAAGGGACGGCUAACUACGUG
rnacentral:rRNA from 1 species